rnacentral:rRNA from 1 species
AUUGAACGCUGGCGGCAGGCCUAACACAUGCAAGUCGGGCGGAGUGGCGAACGGGUGAGUAACACGUGGGUGACCUGCCCUGCACUUCGGGAUAAGCCUGGGCAACUGGGUCUAAUACCGGAUAGUGUGGUAUGGGCCCGCGGCCUAUCAGCUUGUUGGUGGGGUAAUGGCCUACCAAGGCGGCGACGGGUAGCCGGCCUGAGAGGGUGGACGGCCACAUUGGGACUGAGACACGGCCCAGACUCCUACGGGAGGCAGCAGUGGGGAAUAUUGCACAAUGGGCGGAAGCCUGAUGCAGCGACGCUGCGUGGGGGAUGACGGCCUUCGGGUUGUAAACUCCUUUCACCAUCGACGCGGUAGAUGGAGAAGAAGCACCGGCUAACUACGUGCCAGCCGCCGCGGUAAUAC